UGGAUGACACCAAUGGAAAUAAAUCUAACAUUUAGGGAACUUUCCUGUUUUUUUCAGGUGGGUUUAAGCUGAGUUUUGUGAAUGUUGCAAGUAACUUGCCACAGACUAUAUCUCCUUGACGUUUUAAAUUUUUGCCUGUUCUAGUGUCUUAGUUUCUUGUGGGAGUUCUGAUUGAUGUCCAUGUCUGUAGUCCUUUCAGUUUUAUUCAUGGGUUAUGGCAUUAGAGUGCUGUUGAGUGUGAGUAUGUUUGGAAAGAGACAACGCAAUGCACAGUACUCUAACUUAUACUCUGGAUUUAGUGAGCCUAUGUGCAGGGCUGUCAUGUAUUGUAAAGGCUUCCCAGUAUUCCAACUAUCUUUCCAAUGUAUAUGCACCUUUCUGUAUUAUUGGACCGCCAGUGGUGUGCUUGGGAGAGUGUAGUGCUAUUUGCAACAGACUUCUCACCUGGUUCAUCCAGAAAAAUGGAAUCCUCAUGCUGAUUGAACAGACCCCACAUAGGUAUCCUGGUUCUGUGUUUUGGGAGAUGAUUAUGUUUAUAACAGGUGACUUGCAUAUAUUCAAUGGUUGAAUGAAUAUUUCUGAAUUCUGUUACAGAAAACCAAGACAAUAAAGACAAUGAAAAAGAACAGGGAUUUCUUGCUCUCAGGUAAUAAUUAUUGAAGUUCUGCAUUAGGGUGAGUAAUAUAUGUCCAGGUUCACAACUAAUUAAGAGAAGAAAAAGGUCAGCUGUAACCGUAGAUUUUAUGAACAGAAGUUAACAAGACUGCUGGUGUGAUUACAUACCUUUGAUUAAUGAAAAAAUAACCUCUUUGUAUAAGGCAUCCAUUUUCCUUUAGAUAUAUAUUUGUACACCUAAAUACAACCAAUCUGCUUAUUAAUAUUUAACCAUACAGAAUGUAUUCUUCUCUGUUCAUAGAUCAGUUGAGGAUAAGAUGCAUGUCAGGUUCUGUAUGGAUGACCUUAUCUUCUUACCAAUGAACAUGACAAGAUUAAAGACACUAAUUGUGUCACUAUAUAUACAGGAAGUAUCUGGAACACAGACAUCUUGGAUUCUACAGUACCCUAGAAGCACUGAGUGUUUUGCUGUAUGAAAAGUCAGCACAGAUUAAAGAAAAUGUGGAGCCACUGGUUUGGUUUUACGUGUCUGGUUGUGGGAUACAGAGAGCCUUAGGACUCCUUCGCUAUCAGUUCAUUUUUUAGUCAGUGCACUGGCCAUGUCUGCUUGUCUCUCUCCUUCAAGGCAGGUGGACUCUGUUCUCCUCCUAGAAGGAUAAACUUCUCUAUGUUUGAAGUUAGCACGCCUGCUGUUGUGUGACCACUCACUUAUACCUCUGUGAGAACCACCAAGAUAUCUUAUAUUCAAUUUUUCUUGCUUUAGUGAUAUUCUUUAUCCCACCAGGCUGAGCACAGAGGGAAUCAAUGAGGAAAAAGUAGCAGAAAUCCUGCCAGACUCAUUAGGUGAAAGCCCUGAGACAUCCGGCCAUCACUAUGAUUUAACUGACAACCAUAAGCCUUUCUGCACUGCUACUGCACUAUCAGAUGCACAUGAAGUCAGAUCAUUUCUGGAUGCAGCUCAAAAUGUUCAAGAUUGUAAGGAUGAAGCCCCACUGCUAAAGAUCUCCAGGAAAUAUUUUGUCAUAAUUCAGGAUCAUGCCAGGAAGCUGACCCAGUUAUAUGAGCAGCUAGGCAAAGGGAGAGAUGCCUCUUUGUCCCUUGAGCACCAUCUGGAGUUUCUACUGACCCAUGAUGACCCUGAGGACUAUCAGGGUCAAGACUACAUACAACAACUGGCUCAGGGGUGCAAGAUGGCUUCGAAUCUUGUCCUGAUGCUCAGUGAAGGUGAGGGCAACACAUACCCUGAUUAAAAUGAGGUGAGUCAGGGAGAUAAGCAUUUCUUGAAGAGGAAAGGAAGCAAGAAAUGGAGAUAAAUUUCUCUGUCUUUACCUUCAAAGAGAGAGGGGAGUGACAAGGGAGUGACGGGAUGAAAAAGGAACUAAGAUGUAUCAUAUAUAAGUAUCAAACACCCACAAAAGA